GCGCACGCUGGCGGCAGGCUUAACACAUGCAAGUCGAGCGGGCAUCCUUGUGGUGUCAGCGGCAGACGGGUGAGUAACGCGUGGGAACGUGCCCUUCGGUUCGGAAUAACUCAGGGAAACUUGAGCUAAUACCGGAUACGUGCGAGAGCAGAAAGGUUUAUCUGCCGAAGGAUCGGCCCGCGCCUGAUUAGCUAGUUGGUGAGGUUAUGGCUCACCAAGGCGACGAUCAGUAGCUGGUCUGAGAGGAUGAUCAGCCACACUGGGACUGAGACACGGCCCAGACUCCUACGGGAGGCAGCAGUGGGGAAUAUUGGACAAUGGGGGCAACCCUGAUCCAGCCAUGCCGCGUGAGUGAUGACGGCCUUAGGGUUGUAAAGCUCUUUUCUCCGGGACGAUAAUGACGGUACCGGAGGAAUAAGCCCCGGCUAACUUCGUG
rnacentral:rRNA from 1 species